GACGUAGGGCGCGAGCGUUGUCCGGAUUUAUUGGGCGUAAAGAGCUCGUAGGCGGCUUGUCGCGUCGUUCGUGAAAACUUGGGGCUCAACUCCAAGCUUGCGGUCGAUACGGGCAGGCUAGAGUUCGGUAGGGGAGACUGGAAUUCCUGGUGUAGCGGUGAAAUGCGCAGAUAUCAGGAGGAACACCGGUGGCGAAGGCGGGUCUCUGGGCAGUAACUGACGCUGAGGAGCGAAAGCGUGGGGAGCGAACAGG
rnacentral:rRNA from 1 species